UGAACUUAAAAUUCAUUUAUAAAGAAUAAUCUUUUUUUAGAAA
rnacentral:tRNA from 1 species